rnacentral:lncRNA from 1 species
GAAAUCAAAUUAAAGGCAAAAAAACAUACGUACAUACAUGGCUGCCGGAAGAGUUGCUAUCUUGGCCGUGAUGUUGGUGUCGCUGGCCGCAAUGGCGGCAGCAGCCGGUGGGAUAGGGGCGCCCGCCCCCAGCCCCUCCGGCGGUGCAACGGGCCCCACGCCGUCGCUGCAGACAGUUGUCCUUGGUCUUGUUGUUGCAGCUGUGUCUUUCUCCACUCUCAAAGAAUUUGUUUGAGGGUUUCAUCAUAGACUAAAAAUGUAUUUGUAGUGAUGUUUAUUUCCAUGUGUAAGAAACACUGGAUAUUUUGUGUGCUUGGUGAUUCAUGUUACUGUGUAAUAAAGAGGCAGGAGCUGUGUAAUAAAUAAUUAAUGUUGU